rnacentral:rRNA from 1 species
GCGCGAAAACUUUACAAUGCUGGCAACAGCGAUAAGGGAACCUCGCGUGCCAGGUUACAAAUCUGGCUGUCGAGAUGCCUAAAAAGCAUUUCAUAGCAAGGGCCGGGCAAGACCGGUGCCAGCCGCCGCGGUAACACCGGCGGCUCGAGUGGUAACCGUUAUUAUUGGGUCUAAAGGGUCUGUAGCCGGCCGGAUAAGUCUCUUGAGAAAUCUGGCAGCUUAACUGUCAGGCUUUCAGGAGAUACUGUCUGGCUCGAGGCCGGGAGAGGUGAGAGGUACUUCAGGGGUAGGGGUGAAAUCUUGUAAUCCUUGAAGGACCACCAGUGGCGAAGGCGGCUCACCAGAACGGACCUGACGGCAAGGGACGAAAGCUGGGGGCACGAACCG